AACCCUUCGACCUUAGUUGCCAGCAUUCAGUUGGGCACUCUAAGGUGACUGCGGCUAAAAGUCGGAGGAAGUGGGGAUGACGUCAAAUCAUCAUGCCCCUUAUGACCUGGGCUACACACGUGCUACAAUGGGCGGUACAAAGGGUCGCGAACCCGCGAGGGGAGCCAAUCCCAAAAAGCCGCUCUCAGUUCGGAUUGCAGGCUGCAACUCGCCUGCAUGAAGCCGGAAUCGCUAGUAAUCGCGGAUCAGCAUGCCGCGGUGAAUACGUUCCCGGGCCUU
rnacentral:rRNA from 1 species